AGAGAGGCACUGCUAGCAGCGAAGGCCGCUACCCCUCGCACCCUCGGUUGGAAUCCGAUGCUCUCUU
rnacentral:tRNA from 1 species